AGUGAACGCUGGCGGUAGGCCUAACACAUGCAAGUCGAACGGCAGCACAGUAAGAGCUUGCUCUUACGGGUGGCGAGUGGCGGACGGGUGAGGAAUACAUCGGAAUCUACUUUUUCGUGGGGGAUAACGUAGGGAAACUUACGCUAAUACCGCAUACGACCUACGGGUGAAAGCAGGGGAUCUUCGGACCUUGGGCGAUUGAAUGAGCCGAUGUCGGAUUAGCUAGUUGGCCGGGUAAAGGCCCACCAAGGCGACGAUCCGUAGCUGGCCUGAGAGGAUGAUCAGCCACACUGGAACUGAGACACGGUCCAGACUCCUACGGGAGGCAGCAGUGGGGAAUAUUGGACAAAGGGCGCAAGCCUGAUCCAGCCAUACCGCGUGGGUGAAGAAGGCCUUCGGGUUGUAAAGCCCUUUUGUUGGGAAAGAAAAGCAGCAGGUUAAUACCCCGCUGUUCUGACGGUACCCAAAGAAUAAGCACCGGCUAACUUCGUG
rnacentral:rRNA from 1 species